rnacentral:rRNA from 1 species
UACGAAGGGGGCUAGCGUUGCUCGGAAUCACUGGGCGUAAAGGGUGCGUAGGCGGGUCUUUAAGUCAGGGGUGAAAUCCUGGAGCUCAACUCCAGAACUGCCUUUGAUACUGAAGAUCUUGAGUUCGGGAGAGGUGAGUGGAACUGCGAGUGUAGAGGUGAAAAUUCGUAGAUAUUCGCAAGAACACCAGUGGCGAAGGCGGCUCACUGGCCCGAUACUGACGCUGAGGCACGAAAGCGUGGGGAGCAACAGGG